ACAAUGAUCAGAUACACAUUCCUUUCAGAGGAAGCAAGCUUACUGAGGUUCUUCGUGACUCAUUUGUUGGUAACUCUAGGACGGUGAUGAUUUCUUGCAUUUCUCCAAACGCAGGUUCAUGUGAACACACUCUAAAUACCUUGAGAUACGCUGAUAGGUAACAAUGUUAAACUUAUAUAUCCAAGUGAUAUAUGCUGUUCGAUCAUUUUGAAAUGGUUCCUGUCAUUAACUUAGUAAAUUUCUAAUUAAAUGACAGGGUCAAAAGUCUUUCAAAGGGUGGAAACACAAGAAAAGAGCAGUCCACAGGGCCCACUACCGCUUCUAGCAGGGAUUCUUCGUCAGCUCCAUCUUAUCCAUUGCCUGCUGAACCUGAAGAAAUCCCUAAUCAGAUUCAAGAGAAGAGACCGGUUGAUACUAAUCGGAAGGGCACUGA
rnacentral:lncRNA from 1 species